rnacentral:misc_RNA from 1 species
AUACUUUUGAGCAUAGUGAAUCAUACAUGUGAGUUCAAAACGGUGAAAAAGUUGUGAGAGCAGACUUAAAGAUUCUUACUACAAAUUCUGUCGCCUUUGUCGUGACAUUGAACAUUAGUACUUCUAUGAUGGUAUUGUAAUUGGUAAUUUUUUAGUAUUAAGAAGAACCAUUAGCAACUCAUAGUCACUUUAUGAACAGAGCCAUAGUUACCUUAAUCUAAAAUUUUCACCCUCAAGAUUUAGAACAAUGAAUCUCUCUCUUUUGCGUUAAGUUUACCUUUGAAUCAUAAGACUUGCUCUAUCAAGUUGCUAAUAUAAAUUUUGAAGAAUAUUGUUCAUCUUUGUAUUAAUGCAGACUGCUUGCUUUCUGCAACAGUGUGCUAGAUUACCAUUCUCAUAUUCCACGAUUAUUUGCAGCGUGGAAUUUGAAAAUAUGCAGACCACUACUUCGUUUUGGAUAAAUCAUAUAUUUGUUUUCUUUUUGUGAAAUUAAGCUAUUCUAUCUAUAAAAUGAGAAUUUUGUAAUGAUAUUGGCAGGUGAAGUGUGUUUAUUAUCUAGGCUUG